UGGGGAAUAUUGGACAAUGGGGGCAACCCUGAUCCAGCCAUGCCGCGUGGGUGAAGAAGGCCUUCGGGUUGUAAAGCCCUUUUGUACGGGAAGAAAAGCGUCUGGUGAAUAUCCGGGCGUCAUGACGGUACCGUAAGAAUAAGCACCGGCUAACUUCGUGCCAGCAGCCGCGGUAAUACGAAGGGUGCAAGCGUUACUCGGAAUUACUGGGCGUAAAGCGUGCGUAGGUGGUUUGUUAAGUCUGAUGUGAAAUCCCCGGGCUCAACCUGGGAAUGGCAUUGGAUACUGGCAGGCUAGAGUGCGGUAGAGGGUGGUGGAAUUCCCGGUGUAGCAGUGAAAUGCGUAGAGAUCGGGAGGAACAUCUGUGGCGAAGGCGGCCACCUGGACCAGCACUGACACUGAGGCACGAAAGCGUGGGGAGCAAACAG
rnacentral:rRNA from 1 species